UGGUCAUAUACCAAGGCUUUCAGGUAGCACCGUUCCUGACUUGCUGUGGACUUGACCAGAAAUCAACAUCCCAAUUGGCUUUUUCAGCAAUUUGCUGAAAACCUGUUGGGGACACUG